rnacentral:miRNA from 1 species
UUUAUACGUCGAAUUUUGGUCGCGUCGAAUGCAAUUAAGACAAUAGAUAAUGAGAUGAUAAACCUCAGUAAGCUUCAUUAUCUAUUGUUUGAAUUGCAUUCGACGCGACCGAAAUUCGACGUAUAAA